rnacentral:rRNA from 1 species
GUAAGUCAGAUGUGAAAUCCCGGGGCUCAACCCCGGAACUGCAUCCGAUACUGCCAUGCUAGAGGAUUGGAGAGGUAGCUGGAAUUCUUGGUGUAGCAGUGAAAUGCGUAGAGAUCAAGAGGAACACUCGUGGCGAAAGCGAGCUACUGGACAAUUCCUGACGCUGAGGCUCGAAGGCUAGGGUAGCGAAAGGGAUUAGAUACCCCUGUAGUCCUAGCAGUAAACGGUGCACGCUUGGUGUGAGGGGAAUCGACCCCCCUUGUGCCGGAGCUAACGCGUUAAGCGUGCCGCCUGGGAAGUACGGUCGCAAGACUAAAACUCAAAGAAAUUGACGGGGACCCGCACAAGCGGUGGAGUAUGUGGCUUAAUUCGAUGCAACGCGAAGAACCUUACCAAGGCUUGACAUGCAUCUCUAAACACGUGAAAGCGUGUGACCCUUCGGGGAAUUUGCACAGGUGCUGCAUGGCCGUCGUCAGCUCGUGUCGUGAGAUGUUGGGUUAAGUCCCGCAACGAGCGCAACCCUUGUGAUUAGUUGCCAGCACGUUAAGGUGGGAACUCUAGUCAGACUGCCCAGAUCAACUGGGAGGAAGGUGGGGACGACGUCAGGUCAGUAUGGCCCUUACGCCUUGGGCUGCACACGUACUACAAUGCCCAGCACAAUGAGAACCGAUACCGCGAGGUGGAGGAAAUCUGUAAAACUGGGCUCAGUUCGGAUUGGAGGCUGCAACUCGCCUCCAUGAAGUUGGAAUCGCUAGUAAUGGGGCAUCAUCUACGGCCCCGUGAAUACGUUCCCGGGUCUUGUACACACCGCCCGUCACAUCAUGGAAGCCGGUCGCACCCGAAGUGCUCGUACCAACCGCAAGGGGGUAGAGUCCUAAGGUGUAGCUGGUAACUGGGAUGAAGUCGUAACAAGGUAGC